CCCUAUGGGGUGCAGCAGGCGAGAAAACUUUGCAAUGUGCGAAAGCACGACAAGGUUAAUCCGAGUGGUUUCUGCUAAAGAAACCUUUUGUCAGUCCUAGAAACACUGAUGAAUAAGGGGUGGGCAAGUUCUGGUGUCAGCCGCCGCGGUAAAACCAGCACCUCAAGUGGUCAGGAUGAUUAUUGGGCCUAAAGCAUCCGUAGCCGGCUCUGUAAGUUUUCGGUUAAAUCUGUACGCUCAACGUACAGGCUGCCGGGAAUACUGCAGAGCUAGGGAGUGGGAGAGGUAGACGGUACUCGGUAGGAAGGGGUAAAAUCCUUUGAUCUAUUGAUGACCACCUGUGGCGAAGGCGGUCUACCAGAACACGUCCGACGGUGAGGGAUGAAAGCUGGGGGAGCAAACCGGAUUAGAUACCCGGGUAGUCCCAGCUGUAAACUAUGCAAACUCAGUGAUGCAUUGGCUUGUGGCCAAUGCAGUGCUGCAGGGAAGCCGUUAAGUUUGCCGCCUGGGAAGUACGUACGCAAGUAUGAAACUUAAAGGAAUUGGCGGGGGAGCACCACAAGGGGUGAAGCCUGCGGUUCAAUUGGAGUCAACGCCAGAAAUCUUACCCGGAGAGACAGCAGAAUGAAGGUCAAGCUGAAGACUUUA
rnacentral:rRNA from 1 species